AUUGAACGCUGGCGGCAUGCUUUACACAUGCAAGUCGAACGGUAACAGGUUAAGCUGACGAGUGGCGAACGGGUGAGUAAUGCAUCGGAACGUGCCCGGUCGUGGGGGAUAACGCAGCGAAAGCUGCGCUAAUACCGCAUACGAUCUGAGGAUGAAAGCGGGGGACCGUAAGGCCUCGCGCGAUCGGAGCGGCCGAUGUCAGAUUAGGUAGUUGGUGGGGUAAAGGCUCACCAAGCCAACGAUCUGUAGCUGGUCUGAGAGGACGACCAGCCACACUGGGACUGAGACACGGCCCAGACUCCUACGGGAGGCAGCAGUGGGGAAUUUUGGACAAUGGGCGAAAGCCUGAUCCAGCCAUUCCGCGUGCAGGAUGAAGGCCUUCGGGUUGUAAACUGCUUUUGUACGGAGCGAAAAGGCUCUCUCUAAUACAGGGGGCUCAUGACGGUACCGUAAGAAUAAGCACCGGCUAACUACGUGCCAGCCGCCGCGGUAA
rnacentral:rRNA from 1 species